AUCAACAGCUAGGAUGUCCUUAUAGUUUGCAAUAUUGUACACAUGCAGGGUGAAAUGCUUAAAAAUGAGUAGGACAACAAGGUAGGCCCAUGCUAUACUUGCCUUGAUUCACGUACUCCUGCUGGUCUUGCUGGUCCUGCUGAUCCCUAAAGAGCUCCGGACUCCCGAAAUACUCCUCACCGUCUGGGCUCGAUCAAUACAUCACAAUCAUCACGCAUACCAAGACAAACAUGCAAGAGAACAAUUCCUAAAGUUAGAACAGUACACCAGCAGUAAAUAAAUUAAAUAAAAGUUUUCCAAAAUCAUCUACGUGCUGCUACGAUCACGUCAACGCGAAAUUCACGAAAAACGGACCUACGACGCGAAAGUUACGCUCUUAACGGGAUUUCAACAGCAAUAUACGGACUGGUAAUUAACUAGGAAAUCUAACAGUGGUAAACCUGUACCAACGAGAAGCUUACGAAAUUACGAAACUAACGCAACUUGAACGGAUCGAUUCGGAGUUCAAACGACGAUUUUAUAGCUAAAACAAUGCGGUGGCAAUUCUGUAAAUAAGGCAGAGUUUAAACGAAUUUAAAUAAAUAAAUUAAAUCCUGGAAAUUCCUCUGGCCGAGGACUGCGCGCGCAAAAUUGGGAUUCCCGGGGGUCUCUUUAUCAAAAAUGCCCUCGAAGGGGUACGGGACAUUGUAGGCCGUUGGAUCACAGAUAAACGUGCUGGAUUAAAAGAAAAAAAAUAAAAAAAGAGAGAGAGAGGAAGGGGACGGCGCACAGGCCCAGCUCCUCAAGCUCGCCGGAGUUGAGCGGAGGAGGUGCAACGGUGCACGGUUUUCGAUUCCGUUUGAACUGGGAGAAAGAGGAGAGCGAUGCGAGUCCAUUUCACCCCAUAAACGCGGUCGAGGAGGCGGUUUCCGAGAAGGUUCACGACGGCGCCAUACCGGAGUCCCUGGAGCUCGCGGCCAUGACGAAGGAACGCAUCGUUUCACAAAGAAAACGGACGAGAACGAAGCGGGGGAAGUGAGGAUCUCACCUACGCGAAGAAACGGGCGAGAAAGGCACGGCUUGACGGAAAUCGUGCGGAGGUCGCCGGCGGCGUUCUUCUGCGACUUCACAGAGCUCACGCGAGUUGAGAGAGAGCGAGGAGGAGAAAAUGAGAGGGGAGGAGCGGUUCAACGCGGCUACGGCCCACUUCAACCCGAGCGCAGGGGAGAGAGAGAGGUCGUGGGCGCGGGGGGUGCGGCUCGACGGUUAGCAGAGAGAGAGGAGCGGGGGCUUCGGUUUGGGGGCAGGGAUAGAGCUGACAAGUGGGCCCUACUCGUCAGCUGCUAGAGAGAGAGGGAGUUAGGGUGCUGGCGGGCUGCUGGAAUUGGGCCAAGCAGGCCGAAAAUGAGGGGGAAGGGAGAGAGAUGGAUUCCCCUUUUUUUAUUUUUUUUAACUUGUUUUCAACAGCAUUUACAAAUUUGAUUUUUGAACAAAAAUUUCUUUUGCAUAAAUUCACACAUCACAAAAAUUAAGUGCUGCAGCAUGAAUGCAUCAACGUGUUUCUAAUUUUCUAUUAAAUUUUAAUUUCCCAAAGUUUAUUUAUUUUCCUAUAUUUUUAUGCUCACAAAAUUAUUCAAUAAAAUCAAAUUCAUCUAUUUUUAAAAGAGCCAAAUUUUGGGUGUUACAAGUUUCUGAGUUAUGCCUGUUUAAAUUUAAGUUUCAGAAAUGGUUCCUCUGUGUCAAAUCCUGGAUCAGUUUCUGUAGUUGUGCAAUUUCGACCUACUAAACUUGUGAAUCAUGCUUUGAUGAUGAAAUAUAAAUUGUAGCAAUUUUCAUAAGCUUUCCAAAAUGUUAUGGAUCAUGACUUUUGGUGAUCUAGAACUCUGGUUAUAGAUGUAUAAAGCUUAAUGUCUGAUUCUGUCCAAGGUCUGGACAGAAUUGUUUAUUCAUUCUGUUUGGCCAUCUUAUCUAUUAAAUCAGUUCUCGAAGAUAAUAACAAAGUUGUAGAAAAUUAUCUAAGCUUUCCAGAAAGUCUAAUAUCUCCUUUAUUGGAUGCUUGGAUCUCUAAUUAUGGUUGAAUGAAGUUGUGUAUAUGCUGCUGUCCUGGUUAUGUGUGCAAAUAGAGUUUAUUGUUUUUAGCUAGCCUUUACUU
rnacentral:lncRNA from 1 species